rnacentral:rRNA from 2 species
UACACACGUGCUACAAUGGCGCAUACAAAGAGAAGCGACCUCGCGAGAGCAAGCGGACCUCAUAAAGUGCGUCGUAGUCCGGAUUGGAGUCUGCAACUCGACUCCAUGAAGUCGGAAUCGCUAGUAAUCGUGGAUCAGAAUGCCACGGUGAAUACGUUCCCGGGCCUUGUACACACCGCCCGUCACACCAUGGGAGUGGGUUGCAAAAGAAGUAGGUAGCUUAACCUUCGGGAGGGCGCUUACCACUUUGUGAUUCAUGACUGGGGUGAAGUCGUAACAAGGUAACCGUAGGGGAACCUGCGGUUGGAUCACCUCCUUACCUUAAAGAAGC